AUUGAACGCUGGCGGCAGGCCUAACACAUGCAAGUCGAGCGAGCGGCGGACGGGUGAGUAAUGUAUGGGGACUGCCCGAUAGAGGGGGAUAACUACUGGAAACGGUGGCUAAUACCGCAUACGGUCGGAUAACCCAUAUGGGAUUAGCUAUUCGGUAAGGUAAGUGCUUACCUAGGCGACGAUCCCUAGCUGGUCUGAGAGGAUGAUCAGCCAAACUGGGACUGGGACACGGCCCAGAUUCCUACGGAGGCAGCAGAGGGGAAUAUUGCACAAGGGGCGCAAGCCUGAUGCAGACAUGCCGCGUGUAUGAAGAAGGCCCUGGGGUUGUAAAGUACUUUCAGUCGGGAGGCGUUACCGACAGAAGAAGCACCGGCUAACUCCGUGCCAGCAGCCGCGGUAAUAC
rnacentral:rRNA from 1 species